rnacentral:rRNA from 1 species
ACACGACUACAUUAGAUACCCGCGUAGUCCCAGCCCUAAACGAUGCGCGUUAGGUGUAUCGGUGACCACGAGUCACCGAGGUGCCGAAGGGAAACCGUGAAACGUGCCGCCUGGGAAGUACGGUCGCAAGGCUGAAACUUAAAGGAAUUGGCGGGGGAGCACCACAAGAGGUGGAGGCUGCGGUUCAAUUGGACUCAACGCCGGAAAACUCAUCGGGAGCGACAGCAGUAUGAAGGCCAAGCUGAAGACUUUGCCGGAUUAGCUG